rnacentral:lncRNA from 1 species
GCCCUUGCCAUUGUGACUAAUCGCCACCCAGUACACCAGAGCAGCUCAAGCUCUACCCCCUUUCCCUGCCCUGCAGAAGCCAAUCAAUCCCCAGUUGCAAGCGCCUGUUCUUUUCUGGUGGCCCUGGCCCCUCAAGGGCACACACACAGGACUCCAGAGAGGAGAGAGAGAGAGAGAGAGAGGUCCUGUGGCAUCAGCUCCUCUUCUAUGUGCUGUGGGACAGCAGGAGCUGAGCCUAUCUCUUGGAAGCUGAAUCACUUCAUCUCCAGGAGGCUUCACCUAUGGACCCAGGAAGUCCUCUUUCCGGUAGCCUUUCUGCAGUGAAGAGAGGACAGGAUGAGCAGGACUGCCUUUGCAUUCCCUAAGAUCCUGUCUUCCCCAUAAUAUUCUGUGCACACCCCUUGCCUCUGUGUUCCAGGCUUGUGUCCCUCCCCUGGAGACCUGCAUCUUGUAUCGAGCCUCAUGCCCUGAGUCCCCGUUGGCUGGGCUCUGUAAAACAUACCGCCCGGAAGUCACGGUGGAGCUUGCUGUACUGCCAGAGGUUGGCCAAGAGGCUGGAGGCUGCCCGGGAAGACUUCUCACUGUCGGGGCUGUGGGCAUUUCAAGAGGGUCAGGCUCAAGGCUAGGAGAUCAUGAAUUCCCAGGGCGUGGCUCUCAUCCGUGAGCCCGAGUGCCUAGGAGUGGGGCUAGUCCGCCUACUGACCCUGCGGUCGCCCGCGGUGAUAUUCUGUAGCGCCCCUGCGGCCGCCUCCGUUGUAUGCCGAUUUAGUUCACAGCGCUGCAGCAGUCGGUUGUACAACCCCACAAUCUGGGGGCUCCACAGCCAUUCGAGGCCCUUGGGAUCCUUAGAUACUUCGGCAAAGGUGAGUGCAUCAGCUGUGAGAGGAAGCUGAGUGGGAAGGAACAGGGAUCAGCCAGCGCCAGGGGUACAGCUGGGGUCAGAGCAUCAGUCUGGCACUUCCGGGUCUGGGCUCACCUCUCGCAGCCGCCGACUCUGAGGUGUGAAGCAGCCUACCAUUUCACCAGGCGGAGCCCCUGCCAUGUCCCUGCGGCCCCGGC